rnacentral:rRNA from 1 species
UACGUAGGGCGCGAGCGUUAUCCGGAAUUAUUGGGCGUAAAGAGCUCGUAGGCGGUUUGUCACGUCUGCUGUGAAAACUGGAGGCUCAACCUCCAGCCUGCAGUGGGUACGGGCAGACUAGAGUGCGGUAGGGGAGAUUGGAAUUCCUGGUGUAGCGGUGGAAUGCGCAGAUAUCAGGAGGAACACCGAUGGCGAAGGCAGGUCUCUGGGCAUUAACUGACGCUGAGGAGCGAAAGCAUGGGGAGCGAACAGG